GACAGAGGGGGCGAGCGUUAAUCGGAAUUACUGGGCGUAAAGCGUGCGCAGGCGGUUGUGUAAGACAGGCGUGAAAUCCCCGGGCUCAACCUGGGAAUGGCGCUUGUGACUGCACAGCUGGAGUGCGGCAGAGGGGGAUGGAAUUCCGCGUGUAGCAGUGAAAUGCGUAGAUAUGCGGAGGAACACCGAUGGCGAAGGCAGUCCCCUGGGCCUGCACUGACGCUCAUGCACGAAAGCGUGGGGAGCAAACAGG
rnacentral:rRNA from 1 species